AUGGGGCCGAGGAUGUGCCUUCCGGGGUCUUCCGGAGCAGGGCCAGCCAAGAUGGCAGCGGAGGCGCUGGGCCGUCUCCAUCAGAGCCUGGGCACACGGGGUGACGGUGGGCGGAGGCAGCACCCGCACCCUCCCCGCAGGGUCCCUCUCCUUUUCAGGGGAGAAGGUGCGGGCACAAUCCCCAAGGGAAAAGCCGCCGCUCUGCCGGAGCCCCCAGAGCCCGCAGCUUCUCCCCCCAAUCGAUGGCCAGGGCUGAGGUCCACCCGAGGCAGCCAAGGCUCCUCCGGCCAGGUGCCCCCCGCCUCAGCGGAGAAAAGGCCCCAAGGAGGGGGGCCGAGCCCUUCCACGGCGACCCCCGACAGCUGUCAGAAAGCGGCUGGAAGACGCUCCCUGGAGGCCUCGGCUCUGACCGGGGAGGAGGCCGUCAGCACAGAACCCCUCAGGCCAUCGGCGAGGCUGCAGGGGAAGGGCUGGCGCCCAGAGGAGGGGCACCGGGCACGCCUUCGGAAGGGAGAGCCUAGAAACCAGGGCCAACGCCGGGCACUCCUGUCUGAGGACACACAGCCGGGGGAAGGAAGGCCCGAGGCCGAGGCGGCUCCUGGGAGCACAGCAGCAGCAGCGCCCCGUGCGCCUCCGCUCUGGGCCCGGCACGGCGCUGGGUACAGCUUCCCCUACAGCUCAGCGGCAGCCUCUGCUCUGGGCCUGGCACGGCACUGGGCACAGCUUCCCCUACAGCUCAGCGGCAGCCUCUGCUCUGGGCCUGGCACGGCACUGGGCACAGCUUCCCCUACAGCUCAGUGGCAGCCUCCGCACUGGGCACAGCUUCCCCUACAGCUCAGCGGCAGCCUCCGCGCUGGGCACAGCUUCCCCUACAGCUCAGCAGCAGCCUCCACUCUGGGCCCGGCACAGCGCUGGGCACAGCUUCCCCUACAGCUCAGCGGCAGCCUCUGCUCUGGGCACGGCGCUGGGCACAGCUUCUCCUACAGCUCAGCAGCAGCCUUCGCUCUGGGCCUGGCACGGCGCUGGGCACAGCUUCCCCUACAGCUCAGCGGCAGCCUCCGCGCUGGGCACAGCUUCCUCUACAGCUCAGCGGCAGCCUCCACUCUGGGCACAGCAUGGAGCUGGGCACAGCUUCCCCUACACCUCACGCUGUUUCUACACCAACCAGGCAGGCUCGGUGAGGAGGACGCGUCCUUCCGAGGGAGGCGACCCAGCCAGGCGCUGCUCCUGGAGGCCGAAGCUGUAGACGCAGCCCACGGCCAGGGGAGCCUCUGGGCCGCCUCCUCCGUCCCCUGA
rnacentral:lncRNA from 1 species